AUUUUUAUUAAAUACACUGUAGUACAAGAGACUUUCCAUGUCAGGUUGAGAGAAGCUGGUCACAUGAUUCACAAACAAAACUUGCUUUUUAAACACUGAUACUCAGAUGUCACUUUGAAAUCAGCCAAGAUGCAAGUGGGCCUUUUUUUUUUUUUUUUUUUUUAAAGCAAUGGACCUCUAUAACAAACUGCAAAAAUGAGAACCACUAGGCAUCUGUACAGAGACAUCACAACAAAUAAAAUGAAAGGAAAAUUAAGGAAAAUAAAUUGAACAGAGGGAGAAAGAGAGAAAGGGGAUGAGAGAGAAAGAGUGCUCCAAACACCAGGUCAUGGAUUAGUGAAAAGUUUAUCCAUAGAGAGAUAUUGAAAUGUAUGUAUAUACUGUCUGGAUAUAUACAAACAUCUCUCUAUAUACAUACACAAAUGUAUAUAAUUCCUGUAUCUCUACACAGAUACAUGAAGUAUAGGUAGACCAGAGCAGGAACCAAUAUUUCAUCAAAAUUUGGUCUUUUUUUUUUUAAAGGGUUACAUAAUUGAAAUCCACAUUUAAUUCAAAGACCUUAUUAUUUAAAACAGAUUCAGUUGUUUCACACAAAUAGUUUUUUCUUUAAGCGACAGAAAUAUACACAUAAGCUGCAAGAUAUAGGCCUCUAUAGACAUCCCAUUCCACUUCAUCUUCAUUUUUCUUUUCUGUUCAAUUAUUUGGCUACUAACAGCUUCUAGGAUACUCAUCCAAUACACUUCCUUUUCAAAAAGAUGUAUGUCUAGUUACUCUUUGCUUGGGGCUUCUUUGAUGCAGAAACUGAACUGAUAAACAUCGACCUGGCCCUAGAAUGCAUAGACUGUAAAAUAAUACCCCCCCCAUCUUUCCCCACUUCUCCUGAGACAUAUAUUUAGAUGGCAAAAGAAAAGUUUGGUUGCUGUUGUGAAAUUCACAGUGUUUUGCUUGCAACGCACAAACCUUUGUUAUUGUUUUUUGCUUUGUAUUUGUGACGAAUGUAGCAAAGAAGGAAGAAAAAAAUUGGGGAAAAUGCAAGUAAACAACCCAAAUGCAGGUUCUUUAAGGACCCCUUGACUGGAGCAGUAGUGAUUCAUUCCAGCCCUGACGACAAGAACUCAUAUAACUUUCUGUGCUAUUGAAACCUGGGUCUUUAACUGUAAAUCCCGACCUCUUGCCCAAUCCAAAUUCACUAGAAUAACAUUUUGAUGUCCAUUUACAAACUAUGGUAGCCUUAGAGGAGAGUCUUGGUGAGUUUUAGUAUGCAUCACCAAUGUACUCAACUUGUGACCUGGACAUCUGGGGAUUUAGAACAUUGGCUGCAUCCUGAGAUACUUCUCAUUUCAUUUCUUUUGUAAUAGCAAGACAAAGACAAGCCACAGUCCAAAAGGAAAAAUCUCUGAGUGGUAAAAAGAAGAGAAAAAAGAAAAGAGGGAGUGGAGGGGUGAGAGAGGAGAGGAGAGGGGGGAAAAAGAGGGAGAGAGAGGGAGGAAGAAAGAAAAGGAAAGAGAGAAUGAAGAUGAAGGGAAGAGAGGAGAGAGGUAGGGAAGGAGAAAGAAAGAAAGGGAAAGAGAGGAGGAAAGGAAAAGAGAAAGAAGGGAAAAGAAAAGAUGGGGAAAGAGGGAGAGAAGGGGGAGGGAGAAAGAGGAAGAUAAGGAAGAGAGGAGAAGGAAAAAGACAGAGGGGGGAAGGUGGGAUGUAGCUAUUUAUUGAGUCAGAGACCAUGUAUCUCUAUAAACCAUGCUGUUCUAAAAAAAAUUAAAGGGUGGAGAGAAGUCCAUUUAUGACAAGGAGGCCAUGUAUCCUUCCAUAAAAGACUGCAUUCCAUCCAGCUUGUUUGUAUUCUGCAGAUUUAGGGAGGUUGAAGGGGAGAAUGUGGGAAGCGCCUAACAUUUGCUGCUAUUAUUCCAGGGUCUUGGACUUCUCACCAUUGUUCUCUUAGAAAGGGGGAGGCAUUGUGCCCCAAACAUUCCAGUUUUUCCUUUGGAAUUCUUGGUUUCUGUACACCAAUAUAAAAUCCCCAGAGGGCACAAGUAUCAAAAUGGGACAAUAGAAAAAUAAUGAUACUGAGCAAUAAAAACCAAAAUUUCUCUUUACUUUACACUGAGAAUUACUUUCUUAAUCCAAUCUGCUGCGCAAGAAAUUGGUGAAUGCACAAAAUGGGGUGUGAUGGUUCUCAUACCAACAUUCUAAAUAUGCAGGGUCUCCCAUUUGUCCUACUACUGUAGGAGACAUUAGAGAAAGGAAACAUUAAUUACAAGAUGAUUUUUAAAAACUAAAAAUUUGGUUAUUUAUCAGUUUAGCUCAAUCUAGCAAUACUUUAUUCUAAUUACAGCUAUUCCUAUGAAUGUGGGGGUAUACAUUUAUACAUAAACACGUAAGCACACUGUGUGUGCAUGUUUGCACAUGUAUAAACCAAAUGCAACAUAUAUAAAUACAUGUAAAUACCACAUGUGUAACUUAUGUAAAUAUACACACCUAGAAUGUGAAUUAUUUGUAUGAUCCUUUACAGCAUAGUCCAGAAAGGUUUCUAAAUAAGCCUGAUUGUCAUAUUUGCUCAGCAUGUCAGGGCUUCAUUAAAACUGAGCAUAAUUAGCAUAGAAGCAGCUCACCUCUUGGCUAUCUAUUUUUCUUCUCUUGCUUUUCUGCUUAUUCGGCUAACUUUAAACCCCAAGGGUGAAUUAAGGAACGCAGAUUUUUCUUUUGUUCACUGCUCAUUUGCAUGGGCUAUAGUUUUGAUCUCAGGUGUAUCUUGGUGGAGGAUAUAUAUAUGUGUACACAUAUAUCCAUAGAAGUUUGCCACAUUUCCUGAGCCCUACCUCAGGAUGGACAGUCCAGAAAAGGGUUUUCAGUAACAUUCAAAAUCAACUUAAAAAGGGAGCUGGUCCCAGAAAGAUUUGGACUUCCUAGUUCUCUUAGGAACAUUGGAAUAACUUGAUUUGGAUUAGGCCACUAGGUCCUUUAGA
rnacentral:lncRNA from 1 species